rnacentral:lncRNA from 12 species
UUAAUUCUUUCAGGCUCUUUGCCCUAGAAAGUGAAAGUGAAAAGUACCAGGCAAGGCCUAGGUCAAGUGUUAUUCAAUGCAGACAGUGGUAGAUUAUAUGAUCUAGCUGAGGGUAACUUUUUCCAUCAAGACCACCUUGCAGCUUCAGCAUUCUGGGGGAUAUUAUUGUAAUCCUGUAUCAGUUUCAGUACAGAUAGGAGUCCUCAAGCAUCAUCAAAG